GAUGAACGCUAGCGGCAGGCCUAAUACAUGCAAGUCGGACGGGAUCCAUCGGUAGCUUGCUAUCCAUGGUGAGAGUGGCGCACGGGUGCGUAACGCGUGAGCAACCUGCCUCCAUCAGGUGGAUAGCCUCUCGAAAGAGAGAUUAACACCGCAUAACAUAUCAGACCGGCAUCGGUCGGAUAUCAAAUAUUUAUAGGAUGGAGAUGGGCUCGCGUGACAUUAGCUUGUUGGUGGGGUAACGGCCCACCAAGGCGACGAUGUCUAGGGGCUCUGAGAGGAGAAUCCCCCACACUGGUACUGAGCCACGGCCCAGACUCCUACGGGAGGCAGCAGUAAGGAAUAUUGGUACAUGGGCGGAACCCUGAACCAGCCAUGCCGCGUGCAGGAUGACUGCCUUAUGGGUUGUAGACUGCUUUUGUCAGGGAAUAAACCUCCUUACGUGUAGGGAGCUGAAUGUACCGGACGAAUAAGGAUCGGCUAACUACGUG
rnacentral:rRNA from 1 species